GAUGAACGCUGGCGGCGUGCCUAAUACAUGCAAGUCGAGCGAACAGACGAGGAGCUUGCUCCUCUGACGUUAGCGGCGGACGGGUGAGUAACACGUGGAUAACCUACCUAUAAGACUGGGAUAACUUCGGGAAACCGGAGCUAAUACCGGAUAAUAUAUUGAACCGCAUGGUUCAAUAGUGAAAGACGGUUUUGCUGUCACUUAUAGAUGGAUCCGCGCCGCAUUAGCUAGUUGGUAAGGUAACGGCUUACCAAGGCAACGAUGCGUAGCCGACCUGAGAGGGUGAGCGGCCACACUGGAACUGAGACACGGUCCAGACUCCUACGGAGGGCAGCAGUAGGGAAUCUUCCGCAAUGGGCGAAAGCUUGACGGAGCAACGCCGCGUGAGUGAUGAAGGUCUUCGGAUCGUAAAACUCUGUUAUUAGGGAAGAACAAAUGUGUAAGUAACUAUGCACGUCUUGACGGUACCUAAUCAGAAAGCCACGGCUAACUACGUG
rnacentral:rRNA from 1 species